rnacentral:rRNA from 1 species
UACAGAGGUCUCAAGCGUUGUUCGGAUUCAUUGGGCGUAAAGGGUGCGUAGGCGGCGCGGUAAGUCGGGUGUGAAAUCUCGGGAGCUUAACUCCGAAACUGCAUUCGAUACUGCCGUGCUUGAGGACUGGAGAGGAGACUGGAAUUUACGGUGUAGCGGUGAAAUGCGUAGAUAUCGUAAGGAAGACCAGUGGCGAAGGCGGGUCUCUGGACCGUAACUGACGCUGAGACACGAAGGCCAGGGGAGCAAACGGG